CUACCAGGGUAUCUAAUCCCGUUCGCUCCCCUAGCUUUCGCGUCUCAGCGUCAGAAAACGUCCAGGACCUCGCUUUCGCCACGGGCGUUCCUUCCGAUCUCAACGCAUUUCACCGCUCCACCGGAAGUUCCAGGUCCCCCUACGUCCCUCCAGACGGGGCGUUUCGGUGCCAGUUCCCCGGUUGAGCCGGGGGCUUUCAACAACCGACGUUCCCAUCCGCCUACACGCGCUUUAAGCCCAGUGAUUCCGAAUAACGUUAGCACGGUUCGUCUUACCGCGGCUGCUGGCAC
rnacentral:rRNA from 1 species